AUUGAACGCUGGCGGCGCGCCUAAUACAUGCAAGUCGAACGGAGUGGCGCACGGGUGUGUAAUGUAUAGCUAAUCUGCCCUACACUAGAGGACAACAGUUUGAAACGACUGCUAAUACUCUAUAGUGUAGGAUGAGGCUAUAUUGUAUCAGCUAGUUUGUGAGGUAAUGGCUCACCAAGGCUAUGACGCAUAACUGGUCUGAGAGGAUGAUCAGUCACACUGGAACUGAGACACGGUCCAGACUCCAACGGGAGGGAGCAGUAGGGAAUAUUGCUCAAUGGGGGAAACCCUGAAGCAGCAACGACGCGUGGAGGAUGAAACUUGUCGAAGCGGAGACUCAUUGUGUUAGGGAAGCGGUACCUAACGAAUAAGCACCGGCUAACUCCGUGCCAGCAGCCGCGGUAAUUC
rnacentral:rRNA from 1 species